rnacentral:rRNA from 1 species
UGAACGCUGGCGGCGCGUCUAAGGCAUGCAAGUCGAAUGUCGGUUUACCGGCAUGGCAAACGGGAGAGUAGCACAUUGGUAAUCUACCUCAAAGACGAGGAUAACCCUGCGAAAGCGGGGAUAAUACUCGAUAGUAGUAAAGAAUCGGAUGAUUUUUUACUUAAAGUUCCGGCGCUUUGAGAGGAGCCUAUGUUCUAUCAGCUUGUUGGUGAGGUAAUAGCUCACCAAGGCUACGACGGAUAGCGGGUGUGAGAGCACUGCCCGCCUCACUGGGACUGAGACACUGCCCAGACUCCUACGGGAGGCUGCAGUCAAGAAUCUUCCCCAAUGGCCGAAAGGCUGAGGGAGCGACGCCGCGUGUAUGAAGACGCCCUUCGGGGUGUAAAGUACUUUUAACUGGGACGAAUUUUGACUUUACCAGUUGAAUAAGGGGCUGCUAACCUCGUGCCAGCAGCAGCGGUAAUACGAGGGCCCCAAGCGUUAUCCGGAUUUAUUGGGCGUAAAGGGUCCGUAGGCGGUUUGUUGCAUCUUCUGUUAAAUCUAUUAGCUCAACUGAUAGGCUGCAGAAGAGAUGGACAGACUAGAGACCGGAAGAGGUAAGCGGAAUUGCUGGUGUAGGGGUUAAAUCCGUUAAUAUCAGCAAGAACACCAAAUGCGAAGGCAGCUUACUAGGACGGUUCUGACGCUGAGGGACGAAAGCGUGGGGAGCGAAUGGGAUUAGAUACCCCAGUAGUCCACGCCGUAAACGCUGAGUGCUAAGUAUCGGAAGUAUCGACCCUUUCGGUGCUGUUAUUGUAAGUUAACACGUUAAGCACUCCGCCUGGGAAGUACGAUCGCAAGAUUAAAACUCAAAGGAAUAGACGGGGACCCGCACAAGCGGUGGAGCAUGUGGUUUAAUUCGACAAUAAGCGAGGAACCUCACCAAGGUUUGACAUAUAGCUGCAAGUCCUGGAAACAGGAUCGCCUUCGAGGGUGCUAUACAGAUGCUGCAUGGUUGUCGUCAGCUCGUGUCGUGAGAUGUACCGUUAAGUCGGAAAACGAGCGCAACCCCUAUCCUAUGUUUUACAUGUCAUAGGAAACUGCCCGUUUUAAAUGGGAGGAAGGCGGGGAUGACGUCAAAUCAGCAUGGUUCCUACACCUUGGGCAACACACGUGCUACAAUGGGGUGUACAGAGGGACGCCAAGCCGUAAGGUGGAGCAAAUCCUUAAAACACUCCUCAGUUCGGAUCGAGGUCUGCAAUUUGACCUCGUGAAGCCGGAAUCGCUAGUAAUCGUGGAUCAGCUACGCCACGGUGAAUACGUUCUCGGGUCUUGUACUC